GAUGAACGCUAGCGGCAGGCUUAAUACAUGCAAGUCGAGGGGUAGCAAGAUUGUAGCAAUACAAUUGUUGACGACCGGCAAACGGGUGCGGAACACGUACACAACCUUCCUACAAGUGGGGAAUAGCCCAGAGAAAUUUGGAUUAAUACCCCGUAACAUAGCGAUGUGGCAUCACAUUGCUAUUAUAGCUUCGGCGCUUGUUGAUGGGUGUGCGGCUGAUUAGAUAGUUGGCGGGGUAACGGCCCACCAAGUCUACGAUCAGUAGCUGAUGUGAGAGCAUGAUCAGCCACACGGGCACUGAGACACGGGCCCGACUCCUACGGGAGGCAGCAGUAAGGAAUAUUGGACAAUGGACGCAAGUCUGAUCCAGCCAUGCCGCGUGAAGGAUUAAGGUCCUCUGGAUUGUAAACUUCUUUUAUAAGGGACGAAAAAAGGUCUUUCUAGAUCGUCUGACGGUACCUUAUGAAUAAGCACCGGCUAACUCCGUGCCAGCAGCCGCCGUAAAAC
rnacentral:rRNA from 1 species